rnacentral:rRNA from 1 species
UACGUAGGGUGCGAGCGUUAAUCGGAAUUACUGGGCGUAAAGCGUGCGCAGGCGGUUCGUUAAGUCAGAUGUGAAAGCCCCGGGCUCAACCUGGGAACUGCAUUUGAAACUGGCGGGCUUGAGUGUGGCAGAGGGGGGUGGAAUUCCGCGUGUAGCAGUGAAAUGCGUAGAGAUGCGGAGGAACACCGAUGGCGAAGGCAGCCCCCUGGGCUAACACUGACGCUCAGGCACGAAAGCGUGGGGAGCAAACAGG